CUCAAGUUGCAUUAGAUGGCAUUUAAAACAUGACAACAUGUUUGAUCACAACAACAUAAGUACAUCAUGCUGAUUAACUUCUUGUUGUUAUAGUAAGGACUUAGAAGUAUGAUCGUCAAACACAUGAUCGUCUACAUGCACAUUUCCCUUCUAUUGUUGUACAUCUAAAAUAAAAUGUUGUAGAGCUGUCCAUUGUAGUAGCAUGUGAGUUUAGCACCUAUUGAUGCAUGUCCAGUCGUUGCUCCUGUGAAAAUGAUACCACCCACGUCCAUACCCAAAUGAAAAAGUAGUUUAUAAUCUAAAAAAUAGAACCAAAUGACGAUAAGGAAAGAUUAGCCUAAUUUGGAAAAGAUAUACAUUCUGGUCCCUUUUCAGGUCUAACUAAUAAGGUAGCAAUGCAUGAACUACAACAUAGUUUCAUAGCUUUUCUAAAAGAGAGACAACACUACAGCAGUUAAAAAAUAUAUUGGCACAAAGGCUGAAGCUUUAGAUCUACAUAAAUGAUAUGAGCAGGUGUGUUAUAGAUAGAAGAGACAAGUAUAAUGGUUCUGGGUUGACCUGUCGAGGUAUACUACAGGUUGAAAGUUCGUGCUCAUGAAAAUAAAAGCUUGAUAAAUUUAAAAAUAUUGCAACAAAAAUCCAAUUGAAAAAUUCUAGUAGGUUAAACUUGAAUAUAAUAUGUAGGUUUUGUAGGUACUAAUAUAGAUCUAGAAAAUACAAUACAUUUAGGAUGUGAUCCUGCCGGUGAUGUUGUGGGCUGAGCAACCGACUUCUCUGUUCUGCUCUUGUGAUUGCGCACCAAGAAGGUUUGUGUCGGCGGCUCUGUGCAUUGCCGAAUUUUGUUGUUUCACUCGUAUCAAUGAAAUGAUACGUAAUCUUUGUAUAUUCGUGAAAAUACAAUGAAAAGACCCAGGCUGCGCAUUAAGGAGCAUAUAUCUUCCAGGUUCAGGACAGAAACAAUGUGGAGUGAACUGAAAAUAGUGAAAAGCAGUCUCCUAGUAGAUGCGGAAACACCAUUAUAGACUUUUAUUGUCAGUUGGACCUUUCUUGCCAAUUUGGAAAUAAAAAAUCUACCCUCGGACAAUCACCAAGGGAAAGCACACCUUAGUCGCUACCAUUAUGAUUGUAUUUGUGGUACUGUUGUUCAAUGCGGGAUAUGGAGAAAAACAAUGUAAUAUCAAACUUUUGUCAUGGAAAAGGAUGACAACAAACUAACUGCAGACAUUGUUACGGAAUCAUCAUAAUGUGCAAUAUAAAAAGCAUGUUAAAUGGUUGAAGGUGAUAACCUUCAUAAAGCAAACUUGCAUAAGUAGCUGCAUAUUUCCUAUGACAUGUGUUGGAGAAGUGCAGAAUAUAAGAGUAGUCUUUCACAGUACAGUAAUUUUAUCAAGUUUGUUAUUUCUUUUCUGCAUAUAAAAUAAAUGGUGCAAAACUCUUGCUUGGAUUUUCACAGAAACGGUAGCUGAAGAAACAUACUGAAGAAAUCGCUGUCAUGAUAACUACAGUAAGAAAUAUCUUUCCAGAUCCCGUUGAUGCAUGGUCUGUCAUCAAUUCAAUAUCAUAAAUUCUGUUUGUAAUUGGUACUACACUUUUCAAGUUGUUUACGACAUUCCUCGAUUACUCAAGUCAAAUGGUUUUAUUUAAGUACCUAUAAGGAAAUAUUAAAGAAAUUGCAAGCAAUUGUGAUAGCCAUUGAUGAAGAACGUUUUCCCCUAGGUGAACUAUACCAUUCAUUGAUGAUGAGGUACCAUCAAGAUGUCUCGUCUACUAACUUAGCAUCUAGAUUACAACACAUAAAGCAUCUAAUUACUAUGAAAUACAGCCAAAAUAUUUAUCAAUAGAUAUUCAGGAAAUUUCCUGAUGCAAUGUAUGUGGACUUAUGUUGCUUACUUGGACACAUGGAAAUAAUUAUUAGUUUUCUUGAAUUCCAUUUGUGAGAGAAGGAAUUUGUUAGAAAACUCGAUUUGGUAAAAUGACACUAACUUUCGCUCAAUCUGCAGAACAAAAUAUAAUUGUAGGCUCGUACCACAGAGAUUAUCACUCUGAAUUAGACUGAAGAAACAUUUUGAUAGACCAUUUUGAUAUGUACCAGUAGUAUAUUUGAUAGACCAAUAUACCUUGAUUAAUCCGAUGAUAUCGUUAUGCACCCAUCUUCUGAAUUAGUACUAUUAAAUUUAAGGAUCAAUGUCAAAG
rnacentral:lncRNA from 1 species